rnacentral:misc_RNA from 1 species
AAUCAACCAAUUCAUUACCUAAGCCCUAAAUCAUGGGACUCAUGAACUUCUCCUGGUUAUUCCCAGACACCAGCGACUCUGGCAAAAAAAUGCUGCGGUUUUCUGAAUUCAUUUUCAGUUUAAAUCUGAUGUGGCCCUGUAUGGAAAACCGGAAAAUCUUGCUGUCCUCUUGCGCUGCCACCACGUCACUUAAUAUUUUUAUCCUCUAUGGCAUAACGGGCUAUGUAGUAGAUAAUAUAAACGAAUUUGACAAAAUGACGUAUGCCUUGUUUAUGAUUGCACUCCCAAUAUUGCCAAUGCUCAAAGUGCCGGCGAUUGCCUUUAAAUCGAAGGAAUUCAAAAAAAUCAUCAGCCAAAUAUACACAGAAUAUUGGCCGAGUGACAUAAUGGACAUGGUAGACAAAGAUGGCUUUAAAGCAAUUUAUACUGUGGGGUUUUUUGUAAUUGGGACACUAUGGGGCUUAGGUGUUGUUUUUACUACAGCCAUAUGGGUUCGACCGUUACUUUUCUCAGAAAUAACGUUACCAUUGCCAUCGAUAUAUCCAUCUGGUUGGAUCAACGAUUCGACCUUUUGGGUGUUUUAUGCUUUACAAGCCCUAUCUGUUGGUUUCGUAAUACUGAUCGGAACAGUUUCAGCUGAUUUUUUAAUACUCUCAGUUUGCCUUUAUACUACCAACCAGUUUUAUAUCCUACAACAAUGUUUUCUUGUCUACAACACCGAUGACAUGGCAGAAGUUAAUAAGAAAUUGAGAGUUCUGGAUAAGGAGGACAUGCGCAAGUACUAUGGUUAUCCAGAAAAAGAGUAUUUGGUCAGAUGCGUAAAGCAUCAUGCAAUGCUUUUGAGGCUGGCCUUUUACCAGAUUAUUUGUUUCAAAGCAACUGGAGAACACUGGCUGAUAAGGAACUUAUAAAGGAUGUAAUGUUUGUGAUUCAACAUACUCAGCUCAUUCCACAAUAUACUGCAUAUGGACUGUAUGACCUCAACAUCAAUUCAUAUAUCAGAGUUUUAAAGUUAGCAUUUUCGGCUUACACAUUCCUUACUAAUGUCUCGGCCAUCUCUAAGAAAUAAAAUAAGGGAUAGUGCCUGACAUAUUAGAAGACUUAAUAAGUGAAAUAAUAUUAUUGAAGAAGGGAUCAGUGGUGGGAAGUGGCGCGCUCAUUUGAUUUGUAUUAUAAGUAAUUUAUACAAUUUAUUAUAUUGUGGUAAUUACAA